rnacentral:rRNA from 1 species
AGAGUUUGAUCCUGGUUCAGGAUGAACGCUGGCGGCGUGCCUAAUACAUGCAAGUCGAACGCACCGCUUCGGUGGUGAGUGGCGAACGGGUGAGUAAUACAUAAGUAACCUGGCCUUUCGAGGGGGAUAACUAUUGGAAACGAUAGCUAAGACCGCAUAGGCAUAAUUCUCGCAUGAGAGUUAUGUUAAAUAUCCCAAGGGAUAGCGAGAGGAUGGACUUAUGGCGCAUUAGCUAGUUGGUGAGGGUAACGGCCCACCAAGGCGACGAUGCGUAGCCGACCUGAGAGGGUGGACGGCCACACUGGGACUGAGACACGGCCCAGACUCCUACGGGAGGCAGCAGUAGGGAAUUUUCGGCAAUGGGCGAAAGCCUGACCGAGCAACGCCGCGUGAGGGAGGAAGUAUUUCGGUAUGUAAACCUCUGUUAUAAAGGAAGAACGGCGCAUGUAGGGAAUGACAUGCGAGUGACGGUACUUUAUGAGAAAGCCACGGCUAACUACGUGCCAGCAGCCGCGGUAAUACGUAGGUGGCGAGCGUUAUCCGGAAUCAUUGGGCGUAAAGAGGGAGCAGGCGGCAACUAGGGUCUGCGGUAAAAGACCGAAGCUAAACUUCGGUAAGCCGUGGAAACCGAGGAGCUAGAGUGCAGUAGAGGAUCGUGGAAUUCCAUGUGUAGCGGUGAAAUGCGUAGAUAUAUGGAGGAACACCAGUGGCGAAGGCGACGAUCUGGGCUGCAACUGACGCUCAGUCCCGAAAGCGUGGGGAGCAAAUAGGAUUAGAUACCCUAGUAGUCCACGCCGUAAACCUAAAAAGUAAGUGUUGGGGGUCAGACCUCAGUGCUGCAGUUAACGCAAUAA